GGGGGGUGCGAGCGUUGUCCGGAAUCACUGGGCGUAAAGGGCGCGUAGGUGGCAUGAUAAGGGUGUGGUGAAAGCCCGGGGCUCAACCCCGGGUCGGCCAUGCCGACUGUCAAGCUGGAGUACUGUAGGGGCAGGCGGAAUUCCGGGUGUAGCGGUGGAAUGCGUAGAGAUCCGGAGGAAGACCGGUGGCGAAGGCGGCCUGCUGGGCAGUUACUGACACUGAUGCGCGACAGCGUGGGGAGCAAACAGGAUUAGAUACCCUGGUAGUCCACGCCGUAAACGAUGGGUACUAGGUGCCUGGGGGAGCGACCCCCUGGGUGCCGGCGCUAACGCAGGAAGUACCCCGCCUGGGGAGUACGGCCGCAAGGCUG
rnacentral:rRNA from 1 species